CAGCUACAUAACAAGGGCUGAAGAAGAAGAAGAAGAAGAAGAAGAAGAAGAAGAAGAAGACAAAAUCCAUAGGGGGAGUAGGGACCCAAGGCGUCGAUGGUCCUACUGCCCACAGCCCUUCCUCACUCACCUGCUGGCCACCACAACUCCCUUUUUAGGUUGUUGUUUGGGCUUCGUGAUGUACCAUCCUGGGAGACCACGUCCAUCAACCCUUUUCAAGAUCCAAGAGGAAUCUCCUAUUGAAGAGGCCGGGAAUAUUUAUUAGUUGUUUUUGUUAAUUUUUAGAAACUUUAUUUUAUUAUGAACUGAACUGAAUUGAAAUUAAAAGCCAUAU